rnacentral:rRNA from 1 species
UACAGAGGUCCCGAGCGUUUGUUCGGAUUCAUUGGGCGUAAAGGGUGUGUAGGAGGCUAGGUAAGUCAGGUGUGAAAUCUCGUCGCUUAACGACGAAAUGGCAUUUGAUACUGCUUGGCUAGAGGAUCGGAGGGGGCAACGGAAUUCUUGGUGUAGCAGUGAAAUGCGUAGAUAUCAAGAGGAACACCGGUGGCGUAGGCGGUUGCCUGGAAGAUUCCUGACUCUGAAACACGAAAGCUAGGGGAGCAAACGGG